rnacentral:tRNA from 1 species
AAUCGUCGACUUUAGAAAUCGUGAGGGUUCAAGUCCCUCUAUCCCCAA